AAUUAAACGCACGCACAAUAUCAUUGAAUAUCAAUUUCAAGUGUGUAUACCAAAAUUACGUGCCAAAGAGAAGAGGAAAAGAUCUGCGAUGUGAAGCAAAGAUAAGAACUUUGGCGCAGUUUCGUUUACCGUAAUUUUCUUCUUUGCCUUUGCAACGUAAACUUCUGUCUUUGCGUUUUCAUUCUGAAAGUCGUCCGUUCGUAGAUUAUUAACGGUUUUAAAUGUUGUUGGAAAUAUGUAGAAAUAUUACAAGAACAGUAAAAUCAGUAAGUAAAUACGUAAGCCCAUGAGAAAUAUUAGUUAAAUUUUAGGUUUUGUGUUGUAAAUGAAGGUAAACUAGUUAUUAAUACCAAAGCCAAAAACCUAAAACAUAUAUUUAGUUUUUGCUUAAAAAAGAAGCCUUAUAAAGUGAUAAAAUAGUACAUAAAAAGUGUUGGUAGGGCAGUGUUUAUAAUUUUGUUGAAUAUUUAUUAAUGGAAUGGCAAGCUCAGCUGCUCAGCAGCUGCUGAAAAUGAAAAGCAACAAAUAUCUUCUACAAUACAAGACAUCCCAUUAGGAAGCUUUAAAAACAAGAAAAAUUAAGUCCCAUCCUCGACCCAAAAAAACACAGGGAAAAAGUAAAGAAAAAAGAAAAAAGAAAAUAUAACCGAGGAAGCAAAAUCCAAAGUAAUAAGAAAAGAUCACUCUCAGCUCUAUAUAACUGAACAUCAAGGUACAUAGAAUGCCCAUUUUGGCUUGGCAUACAGUUGCCGUGAAAAGUUUGCCACCAUUUGGAAAAUCCAGCUAAAAAGCAGCUAGAAAAGAGCACAAAUCCAGCUAAAAAGUAGCU